rnacentral:rRNA from 1 species
UACAGGGGGUGCAAACGUUGCUCGGAAUCAUUGGGCGUAAAGCGCACGUAGGCGGUUCGUUAUGUCGGAUGUGAAAGCCCUUGGCUUAACCGAGGAAGUGCAUUCGAAACCGCAAGACUCGAGUCCCGGAGAGGGUAGUGGAAUUCUCGGUGUAGAGGUGAAAUUCGUAGAUAUCGAGAGGAACACCGGUGGCGAAAGCGGCUACCUGGACGAGGACUGACGCUGAGAUGCGAAAGCGUGGGGAGCAAACAGG